rnacentral:rRNA from 1 species
AGAGUUUGAUCCUGGCUCAGAACGAACGCUGGCGGUAUGCUUAACACAUGCAAGUCGAACGAGAAAGUUCCUUCGGGAAUAAGUAAAGUGGCGAACGGGUGAGUAAUGCAUAGGAAUCUACCCUUUAGUGAGGAACAAGCACUGGAAACGGUGUCUAAUACCUCAUACUACCCAACUAAUAAAUCAGCUAUUUUAUGGCUAAUUUAUUAGUUGGGGUAAGGUUUAGUCUUUCGGGAUUAAAUCGCUAUUGGAUGAGCCUAUGUCGGAUUAGCUUGUUGGUGAGGUAAAGGCUCACCAAGGCGAUGAUCCGUAGCUGGUCUGAGAGGGUGAUCAGCCACACUGGGACUGCGACACGGCCCAGACUCCUACGGGAGGCAGCAGUGGGGAAUAUUGGACAAUGGACGAAAGUCUGAUCCAGCAAUACCGCGUGAACGAUGAAGGCCUUAGGGUUGUAAAGUUCUUUCAGUAGGGAAGAUAAUGACGGUACCUACAGAAGAAGCACCGGCUAACUCCGUGCCAGCAGCCGCGGUAAUACGGAGGGUGCUAGCGUUGUUCGGAAUUAUUGGGCGUAAAGCGUACGUAGGCUGUUUCAUAAGUCAGUUGUGAAAUCCCAGAGCUCAACUCUGGAACUGCAAUUGAAACUAUGAAACUAGAGUGUAAUUGGAGAUGGCAGAAUUUCUAGUGUAGGGGUGAAAUCCGUAGAUAUUAGAAGGAAUACCAGUGGUGAAGACGGCUAUCUUGGUUACAACUGACGCUAAGGUACGAAGGUGUGGGUAGCGAACGGGAUUAGAUACCCCGGUAGUCCACACAGUAAACGAUGAGUACUAAGUGUUCGGAUUUUAGAUCUGAGUGCUAAAGCUAACGCGUUAAGUACUCCGCCUGGGGAUUACGGUCGCAAGACUAAAACUCAAAGGAAUUGACGGGGACCCGCACAAGCGGUGGAACAUGUGGUUUAAUUCGAUGCUACGCGAAAAACCUUACCAGCUUUUGACAUCCCGAUUCCGGAGGAUAGAGAUAUCUUCCAUCAGUUCGGCUGGAUCGGAGACAGGUGUUGCAUGGCUGUUGUCAGCUCGUGCCGUGAGGUGUUAGGUUAAGUCCUUUAACGAGCGCAACCCUCAUUCUUAUUUGCCAUCAGGUAAUGCUGGGAACUAUAAGAAAACUGCCAGUGAUAAAUUGGAGGAAGGUGGGGACGACUUCAAGUCAUCAUGGCCCUUAUAAGCUGGGCUACACACAUGUUACAAUGGGAGUUACAAAGGGCAGCGAAGGAGCAAUCCUAAGCCAAUCCUUAAAAGCUCUCUCAGUUCAGAUUGCAGGCUGCAACUCGCCUGCAUGAAGUUGGAAUCGCUAGUAAUCGUGGAUCAGCACGCCACGGUGAAUACGUUCUCGGGUCUUGUACACACUGCCCGUCAAGCCAUGGAAGUUCUUUUUGCCUGAAUUAGGUGAGCUAACCCGCAAGGGAGGUAGCCUAACACGGUAGGGGGAAUGACUGGGGUUAAGUCGUAACAAGGUAACC